GCGAGCGGCGAACGGGUGAGUAAUGCUUCGGAAUCUGCCCAGUAGUGGGGAACAACCAGUCGAAAGACUGGCUAAUACCGCAUACGACCUAAGGGUGAAAGCAGGGGAUCGUAAGACCUUGCGCUAUUGGAUGAGCCGAAGUCGGAUUAGCUAGUUGGUGAGGUAACGGCUCACCAAGGCGACGAUCCGUAGCUGGUCUGAGAGGACGACCAGCCACACUGGGACUGAGACACGGCCCAGACUCC
rnacentral:rRNA from 1 species